rnacentral:rRNA from 1 species
UGGGGAAUAUUGGACAAUGGGCGCAAGCCUGAUCCAGCCAUGCCGCGUGAGUGAUGAAGGCCUUAGGGUUGUAAAGCUCUUUCAGUAGGGAAGAUAAUGACGGUACCUACAGAAGAAGCCCCGGCUAACUUCGUGCCAGCAGCCGCGGUAAUACGAAGGGGGCUAGCGUUGUUCGGAUUUACUGGGCGUAAAGCGCACGUAGGCGGUUUGUUAAGUCAGGGGUGAAAUCCCGGAGCUCAACUCCGGAACUGCCUUUGAUACUGGCAAGCUAGAGUCCGGAAGAGGUGAGUGGAACUCCUAGUGUAGAGGUGGAAUUCGUAGAUAUUAGGAAGAACACCAGUGGCGAAGGCGGCUCACUGGUCCGGUACUGACGCUGAGGUGCGAAAGCGUGGGGAGCAAACA